GAUGAACGCUAGCGACAGGCCUAACACAUGCAAGUCGAGGGGCAGCAUAAAGGUAGCAAUACUUUGGUGGCGACCGGCGCACGGGUGAGUAACACGUAUGCAACCUACCUGUAAGAGGGGAAUAACCCGGAGAAAUUCGGACUAAUACCGCAUAAUACUGAUUAUCUGCAUGGAUUGAUCAGUUAAACAUUUAUGGCUUACAGAUGGGCAUGCGUAUGAUUAGAUAGUUGGUAGGGUAACGGCCUACCAAGUCAACGAUCAUUAGGGGUUCUGAGAGGAAGGUCCCCCAACUGGUACUGAGACACGGACCAGACUCCUACGGGAGCAGCAGUGAGGAAUAUUGGUCAAGUGGGCAGAGCCUGAACCAGCCAAGUCGCGUGAAGGAGAAGGUUCCAUGGAUUGUAAACUUCUUGAUCAGGGAAAAGAAUGACGGUACUGAAGACAAGCCACGGCUAACUACGUGCCAGCAGCCGCGGUAAGCUGU
rnacentral:rRNA from 1 species